GGUUGCAUCUGUGAUAUUUGGAAGUUCCCAGGCUAGGGGGUCAAUUGGAGCUGCAGCUGCCAGCCACAGCCACACCAGAUCCGAACUGCAUCUGUAAACUACACCACCCCUUGCGGCAAUGCCAGAUUCUUAACCCACUGUGCAAGGCUAGGGAUUGAACUCACAUCCUCACGGAUACUAGUCAGGAUCUUAACCCUCCAAGCCACAACAGGAACUCUCCCUUCUCUACUUUCUAAAUGAGAAUUUGAGAAUGAUGGCUGGUAUGUGCAAGGCCAGGUAGAGGAAAAGGGAAAAAGAAAAAGAGAGAUACCUAUUUCUCUUGUAACAAUUUCUCAGUUCAAAAAAAAAAAAAACUCUUUACAGUGGCCCAGGACACCAGUCUUUAGAUUGCUGCUUUAAAGAGAAGCUCCCCUUUGAAGUGAGUGCCUCCUUUAACAGGGCAGGACUUGAUCCCAUGGGAGUUACUCCUUUUUCUCCACCAUCUCAGGUCUUAGGCUUGUUCUCAUAAUGUUGAAUGCUUAGCAUUUUCUGUUUCUUGAGCUAUCCUGGCCCUAUCAUUUUGAUCCCACAGUGAACUCAGCCAGUGAUGCACCAAACAGCUGCAAACUCAUUACCACGUUCUCCGGGAGGGUGUGUCCCUCUCCCUCUCAUAUUCUUUCCUUCCCUGUCUUACAUUAUUGCUCACAAUUUUCUCAUGGAUCAGCUAACCAUAGGUUGAUUCAAUCAUGAAUUUGAUGCAGUGCCAUAAAAUACCUGAAAUCAAGAUAGCCGAGUUCUUUGAUUACACUGUGCAAGGAUCCAACAGGACUUUUUUCCUCCACUUUUUCUCCUCCAACAGUAUCUGUGUUCUGGACCUUAGACACCUCCCUUCUCCCAUGCACUUGGGACAGUGAGGACUUUCAGAAAGAAGCAUAAUUAUAUAACCCUCCUCCCGUCCCCAGCGAUGGUAACUUGCCUGAACCUGUACAGAACAAGGGCUGUCAUAACUCUGUAGCCCUCACGGAACAUGGCAAGGAGGCGUGCUCCUCAAAAAGGAAGUUUGGCAUGACCAAAGCCUACUUGACUUACACAUUAAGGAUUUUUUUAAUGUUUUAAUACCAACAAUUCAGAAGAUAGUAAUCAUGGGAGAUAAGAGCUCAAGUUCCACUUGGUAUUCAAAAUCUCAUGAGUAGUUAUUUCCUUCCAAAGAAUUUAUGAAAUGAAUAGAGUUUGCCUGAAAUGAAAAAGCGAACCAAACAUUCGUGGACACCUACAAUAUCCCAGGCCCUGAGUUAGAGGUUCCAGCUGUGCUAUUUAAUUUAGUCAUCAUAAUAGCUCUGAGAGCUUGGCUUUAUUAUUCCCAUUUCAUAGUCAAGAAAUCUGAGGAUGAGAGGUUAUAUAAUUUGCCCAAGAUCAAAUUGAGCUAAGGGUGGAACCCAGACUCGUCUUUCUUCUUCAUUAUAUGGCUUUCUUAUAAAAGAUAGAGUGAAUACAAAUGGCAGAGUGGAAGACAAAGAUAAGCCACCUAAAAAGGAAAAUCAAGAGGCUGUACAAUGGAAAAAUAUCAAAGGCAUUUGCUUAGAUUAUGGAACCAAAAUAUUUCUCAGUCUGUAAGAUUCCAAUAUGUGUUUUUUAAACCUGCCAUCAAGCAAUUAAUAUGAUGCUCUUUGGAUGCUGACCAGAUAUCUCACAAAUUUCUGACACUAUAUACCUAGAGAUAGGGUCAGAUUCCACAAGUUAAGGGCUCAGUCCCACAAGGCUGCCCCCUCCCUUCAGAUGACAAUUGAAGUCAAGGUUGUCACCUGUGUUUCUGACCAACCAGCUACAAAUUAGAGGUUCCCACAGCUACCUCCUCUGGUUUAAUUCAUUUGCUCAUGCAACUUACAGAACUUAGGAAACCCGUUUACCUACUAGGUUGCCAGUUUAUUACAAAGGAUACCAAGGGAUACUAAUCAACAGCCAGAUGAAGAUACACAGGUCAAUUUCCUGAAGACAGGAACUUCUGACUCAUGGAGUUUGGAGCCCAGCACGAGGAUGUGUUCAUCUACUGAAUCUCAGAACCUCUCUGAAAGCUCAUCCUUUGUCCUUUUGGGGUUUUAUGGAGGCGUCUUUAUGCAGGCAUGGUUGAUUAAAUCUAUCAUUGUUGGAUGAACUCAAUCUGUGGCCCCUCUCCCCACCCCACAAGUCAGAGGGUGGGGCUGAAAGUUCCAGCACUCCAAUUAAGGCUUGUUCCCCUGGCAACCAGCCCCUGCUCUUUGGUUACCUUGGGGCUUUCCAAAAGUCACCUCAUUAACAUAAGAUGAGAGGCUGACCCAUUGAUAGCUUCACUUAAGAAAUUCCAAGAGUUUUAGGAGUUCUGUGCCAGAAAGAGGGAGGAAGACAAAACAUGUACUUCUUAUAAUAAAUCUCAACAGCACAACAAUUAAAAACCAUCAACAACAGGCAAACAUUUUAAAUAAAGACAGAUUUGAGAGGUAAUGAGAGACAUGAAUAGAAAGUUUUAGGGUAGAUGAGAGUACAACCUAAGAGACAGAUAGGAAAGGAGAAUGAGCACCAAAAGCUUGUCCAUGGGUAGGUGAAUGCACCACAACAAAGAUGCCGUUAGAGACAUGACCAAGGUUGUGGAGAAUAGGAAUGUGGAUGACUGCAGCUAAAACCAAGUAUUUUUUAAGUCUGGUUAAAAAGAAGAGGAACAAUUUUAAAAUGUUUCUGAGGAACAGACAUGCAAUAUUCUGAUGUUUGUAGAAACAGUGAGUUUCUGUUAAUGAGGGAAAAUACAGAUAUGAAAUACCUUUGAUAACAUCAAAAUAAAACUACAGAGACAGGCGCCAGUGCUAAUACCAGCAAGUAGUUAUUCAGAGAAAGGAGCUAUGUAGAUUAGAAAGCUGGGCUCCACUUUUUUCUUCAAGGUACCUGAAGAAACCCUGGUGAAUUCAAUUCCCUUCCCUUCUUUGCUUUUCUUUGGCUCAUUGCUAAGGUGCAAGCAGCCAGAUGCUGCCACAAUGCCCAGGCAAUAAAGAGUUGGUUGUGAAGACACACCUGUUACUCUUUCUUUUAUAGGUAGGAACACACAGUGCUGGUUAGGACUUACAUCAGGCCUAAAAAUGCCUAAUGUACCCACUGUCUAGAGGGCAACUAGUGGGCACAGUCCUCGCUCGGUUACAGACACCUCCUGGACCGUAUUGCACACAGCUGUCUUUAUGGACUAUAGGAUAGGAAUUGAGGUUAAUUGCCAUGAAAGACACACACCAUAUGAUCUUUUUAUGUCUAUUUAGUAAGAUGGUUCCAGCCUAGGGAGGUUUUCCCAGGAGCACCAUAGUGAUUUGUUCUCAUGGUUUUUGUGCUCCUUAGGUUCACGGGUUAUGCACAAGCUGAUGGGGCUAAUUGUCAGUGCUCUUGCAGAAGCCCCUUUAAAUUUAGGCCCCCUACCUCCUGCCUAAAUGUCCAGACCUGUUGUCUUCUUGGGCUUCAGUUUUCCCACAUUUUGUAGUCUGUAUCAUUUAACUGCUGUUGGAAACGAGGAGAAAAAAAAAAAAUUACCACAACUGGAGGCUGGCAGCCUUGACUGUUGCUCUCUGCUCCCGAGAGAUUUUGUUUUUUCGAAUCAUAGAAUAAAAUGAUUUAAGAAAAAGAAUCCUCAGCGCUCAGGCUCUGCCUUCUAGCUUCAAAGCCUUUUUACAAGCUGCAAUUCAUUAAACACAAUAAUCGUUUGAGGCCAGUGGACCGACCUCUGCAGGGAGAGGGGCCAAGGCCUCCCACCCCACCCUCUUUCUCUUUGUGUUCCGGACCACAGCAUCACCGCAGCGGCGCAGGAGGGGGUGGGAUCAUGGUGCUCCCACCAGGCGGCUGCCCAUGGCCCUCUGCCCAGGCCUGCCUUUCCUCUCGUUUCCUCUCGUCCCUGCCAGGGCUCCACGCUCCACUUAGCCAUUGGGUACAGGAGCUUCUCUCCUCCAGGCUGCAUUUGUCUGCCUUUCACAAAACAGACAGUCUGCCCACAUUUUUAUUUCUUUUCUAUAAAUGAAGAAUUUCCUAGCCAUGAGACCCAGCUGAGCCUGACAUCUUCCCCCUGGGACAGAUUCCUCCUUGCUUUGCCACUCGAGGGGCCACAGCCAAGCGGCGGCAUCGCACCCCUUUGUCACCAUGAGACAGAGCCAGCCUCCCAGCCACAUCCACUCACCCCUUGGCAGCUCCCCAUCCACUGCUGCCAAGUGGUUGCGUCUCCAGAGAGGGGUGGGCAUGGUGGAUGGUGGGUAUCCAGGCCACUGAAAUGAGUCCAUGGGCCAUUGAGCUCCCAUCAGUCAUUCCACAGCUUGAAAAUCCCAUUUUUUUUUGCUUUCUGUUCUUCCACAUGGACCUACCCAGACCUUUAGAGAGGGGGAAAAAAUAAUAAAACACCCACAGGGCACAACCAUGGCAUACUAAAUUUCAUAAGGCAAUGCUGAAUUAAUUUUUACAGUUCUUUCUUUCCAGGUCCUUCCCUCUCCUCAACUCUGCCCACUAGUUAAAGAAAAAACAAGCCUAGGAGCCCCUUAAAAUGCUAACAUCAAUAAUAACAGUAUCAGAAGGCAGGUUUGGUCUGCUUUGCACUGCUGAUCAUUGCCCAGUGGUACUGAAAAUAUUCAUGAGUUUCAUUCACAGAACAACCGUAGAAGCAAAAACAUGUGCUGGGAUCUUCAUGGGCCAGGGUUCAUGUGGGUAAAAGAUGAGGAACCACACCCCAAGCUAGGCCUGCCCCCUCCUGUGCCCUCUCACCCAGACUCUCUGCCUUUUCUCCAGGUCUGCCCCCAAGGCACACAUUUUCUGUGAUGCUCUCUCCUUCUGACCAAAGAUCUAUAUCCUGUCCUGUUUUUAAGGCCCAACUCCCUCUUCCAGAAACUUCUCGAAGUCUUCAUUAUCUGCUCCAGCCAAAAUGGAUCUCUCUCUCUUUUUUUAAUUCUUAAAGUGUUUGUACUCACCAAUAUCGCAAUUUAUAAUUUGGGACCUGGAAGGAGCCUAGACUCCCACCCUCUCUGUUGACAGAAGAGAAAAUGGAGUUGCUAUGAGUGUAAGUGAUUUUCCCUCCAUUGCAUAGUUGGUUUGCAGAAGGGCAAGAUAAGAAGCCAAGUCUCCCAGCAAUGGCCUGCCUCACUGCAUCCCUGAGAGAGAAGGGUGCCAUGGACCACCAAGGGCAGUGCACAUCGGACAUGGCAUACUUGGUCCCCCUAAAAAGCAAACGAGGCAAAAGUGCCACUGCUUUCAGUAGAAGUCAUUUAAAUCCUCUGUCAGGCUGCAGGCGGGGCCCCCUUUGGACAGAGCAUACUCAGAAGUGUUUACUAACAUAUUCAAAGUUGAAAACUAUCACUUUACGGUGAGGCUAACUACACUAACCUGACCAUGAAGACGAACUGUGGGACAAGACUUGGUCAUAAGGAGGAGGUCCAGAUGAUUCAGAAUAUAUGCAUGUUAAAUUAGCCUUUUCCUUUUCCUUUAUUUAUUUAUUUGUUCUCUAGGGCCACUCGUACAGCAUAUGGAAGUUCCCAGGCUAGAGGUCGAAUCGGUGUUACAGCUGCCAGCUGACACCACAGCCACGCCACAGCCACACCAGAUCCAAGCUGCAUCUGCAGCCUACACACACAGCUCACAGCAAUGCCAGAUCCUUAACCCCCUGAGCGAGGCCAGGGAUCAAACCUGCGUCCUCAUGGAUAGUAGUCGUAUUCAUUUCUGAUGCUCCAUGACCAGAACUCCCAAGACUUUUCCUUUUAAAAUAAUUUCAAACCUAUAGAAAACCUUCAAGACAGCAAAGAACUUUUUGUUUUCUGAACCUUUUAAGUUGCUGACAAGAUGGGCUAUGACCCCCUCCCCCAAUUAUUUCAGUGUGUGAUUCCUACUAAAAAGUGUAUUUUUCUAAUUAACCACAGUGCAAACAUCCAAAUCCAGACACUCACACUAAUACAUUACAGGUCUCUAAUUCACAGACCCCAUUCAUGUUUUGCCAAUUGCCCCGGGAAUGUUCUUUAUGUGUUAGACUUUUCUGUGUUAGAUCUAGUUAUCAUGUUUCUUAAUCCCCAUCAAGCUAGGACAUUUCUUCAGUCUUUUCCUUGAGUUUUGUGACUUCAACAUUUUUGAAAAGAUUAUGGGCCAAUUAUGUUGUGAAAAAUUCCUCAAUUUGGGUUUAUGUGUAUUUCGUAGUCUUGUAGACAAGAUUACACAUUUUGGGUAGAAAUAUCGCAGAACUGAUGCUCACAUUUUAUCUCAGGGGGACAUCAGUUUGUCCUUUAACCUCUUACGAGCAGAAUAACACAGCAUCAAAACACAUUAAGCAAA
rnacentral:lncRNA from 1 species